rnacentral:misc_RNA from 1 species
AACGCACAUUGCGCCCUUUGGUAUUCCGAAGGGCAUGCCUGUUCGAGCGUCAUUAUCACCCCUCGAGCCCCCGGGCUUGGUGUUGGACGGUUGGUCGGGGCGUCGAGCCCGAGACCCCUCCUAAAGACAAUGACGGCGGCCUCGUGGUGCCCCCGGUACACUGAGCUUCUUAACUGAGCACGUAUCGGAUUCAGGGCGCCCGGGACCCGGUCCUCAACCCCUUAUUUUACCAGGUUGACCUCGGAUCAGGUAGGAAUACCCGCUGAACUUAA